GACGAACGCUGGCGGCGUGCUUAACACAUGCAAGUCGAACGGAAAGGCCCUGCUUUUGUGGGGUGCUCGAGUGGCGAACGGGUGAGUAACACGUGAGUAACCUGCCCUUUACUUUGUGAUAACUUCAGGAAACUGGUGCUAAUACCGGAUAGGAGCUCCUGCUGCAUGGUGGUGUUUGGAAAGUUUCGGCGGUUGGGGAUGGACUCCCGGCUUAUCAGCUUGUUGGUGGGGUAGUGGCUUACCCAGGCUUUGACGGAUAGCCGGCCUGAGAGGGUGACCGGGCACAUUGGGACUGAGAUACGGACCAGACUCCUACGGGAGGCAGCAGUGGGGAAUAUUGCACAAUGGGCGGAAGCCUGAUGAAGAAACGCCGCGUGCGGGAUGACGGCCUUCGGGUUGUAAACCGCUUUAGCCUGUGACGAAGCGUGAGUGACGGUAAUGGGUAAAGAAGCACCGGCUAACUACGUG
rnacentral:rRNA from 1 species